CUUGCCCCGGGGCGGGCGGGGGAGCAGUGAGCGGAGUUUGGCGGGCGAGGAAGUGGCAGGCACGGGAGGAGAAGCCGCAGGAGCGGGGUGGGGGGCAGCGGAGGGCGGCGGGACCUCGCAGCUUCCCCCGCGGGCUGCUCGCGCCCGCCAGCCCCGGAGCCCCCCUUCCUCCUCCGGCAGCGCUCCGAGCCCUGCCCGCAGCCACGGGCUCUGAACGAAAGCGAAACGUGGGGCUGCCGGCGGCGGGGCGGCGCGGGCAGCGGGCUGGCAACGGGGGAGGGCGGGAGAGGGGGGGAGGCGAAGCGGCAGGAGGCACCGAGAAGUGGCUGGAGUUGGGAGGAUGCGGCGGCGGCGGCUGCAACUUCGCCAAAAGGACCCGGAGCGAGGCGGACGCUGCCGGCACCGGGAGGGAUCAGGUUGCGGUAGAAAUAAGCUCUGGAGGCGAACGGGUGUGCGGAGCAAAGUGCGGCUGCGAAGGGAGUGCGAGGGGGUAACCGUGCCCGGGACGGCGGCGGACAGCCGGAGCGGAGCGCCGGGCGAGAGCCCGGGGGAACGAGGAGCUGCCCGCCGCCGCACGGGGAUGCGCCCCGCGGCUGCCGGGGCAGGGUGCAGGAGCAGAUGCGGGACCUGGCGGGGGGACCCAGCCGCAGGUGACAAGAGCGACGGCUCCUGGGCUCACGGCGCUCGCAAGGCUGGCUGUGCCAGGCGUGCACAUGUCCCUGCGCGAAACGCGGGCGUGUGUGUCUGUGCCGGAGAUGUAGAUAUGUAUAUGGGGCUUGAUUUAUAUCUAAUGGCACGUAUAAAGCUUUUGAAGGUGGCUGCAAUGUAAAAAGUAAUGACUUUAUUACCCCUGAAAGGUUCUGCGGUUCGCAGUUAACACUCCUCUGAAUUACAAUUCAUUACUCUCUCUAAAGCCAACCUGCAUCAGAACACCUACCUGUGCUUAUUCCCAAUCAUAGGCAUCGUUUCAUUGAUUUUCUUUUUUUAAAAUCAUAGCAAAUUAAGCACUUGGUGACAACUAAAUCUGUUUCAUUAUCGUGCCGUGUUUGAGAUUCCAGAGGUGACUUCCCAGACCGCAUCUCAAAACCUACAGUCAGGAGCUAAUUUUACAGAUGCUUUCAUGAAUGGCAGCGAGGAUGUUCUUACCAUCAGCAUGCCCUUAAUUCCAGCACCGUAAAAAUGCCUCGAAUUAAAUGGAAACUCGCUGCCUUAAAAAUAAUAUUUCAUCCUGGCUGGAUAAUUAUUAAUAUUAGCAUUUGAUCGCUAUAGUGCUGGGCUCCCCCUCGUUCCUGUAUCCCCCCCCCCAGCGCUUCGCAUUGUCAUGUGAUUGGAGGGAGAUAACAAACCUCAAGAAAGAAAAGGAGUGAGAAGACAUUUUUAACACGGCAUGACCGCAGAUUAAUAAUGCAGGUGGGUUUUUAUUUCAUUGUAUUUUUAGGGGAAGGGAACGAGGCUGUUUAACGAGCGGUCGUGGACACAAAGUGACUGUAUUUACAGUCCUUGAUGUGGCUUUCGGUGGGUAAUAAAUUAUGACAAUAUUAAAAUUAUUUUCUGGCAACCCAGCUAACUGCGCUGGGGACUGUAAAGCCCCUACUGAUUCCAUUUAUGCCUUGUAAUUGCGGUCCACGGUCUCGCUCUAAACCUUUUGGUGUAUAUUGUGUGUAAACUUUUAGCUAAUAGACUUUUUUUGAAUGGAGGGACUUUUCUCGGUACUUCCUGCCGUAUACAUUUUGUCUCUGAUCUCUGUAUUUAAUGGCCAAGUCCUGGUUUAUGCUUUAUAAUGUGUUGACAAGUUUUCUAACAGACUUUCUGAAAUAAUGCACAUAUAUUCACGUCGGUUAGAAACUCCACAGUAUUUUUAGAGUCGAGUAGAUCUAUAUCCUAAUGCACUGAGAGGGAGUGUAAAUCAUAGAGGAUUUCAUAGCCCUUUCAGUAGUUUUCUGUAUGAAGUAUGAACAGCGUGGCCUCCAGACGUAACCUUUUAGAAAAAAAGACAGUGCUUUUAUUUUAUGGUGUAAAGUGCUUUUAGCUUCAGGGCUCUGAACGUGAAUGUGGUCAACAAACAGCUCUUGCGAGGGAGUUUGCUACAGCCUCAGCCCAGUGCCGGGCGCUGCCUUCGCUAUGGGGAGGAAUGCGGGGCCGCCCCCGGCCGCAGGACCGGGCUGAGCCCCUCGAGACACGGUACCCCCCGCCGGGUCCCCCCGUCAGUGUCCUGGGUUCGGACACCCCGCGGAAAGGAGGGGUCGGAUGGCCCCCGGCGCUGCCGGAGAGGCUGAUGGUGCCAGCAGGGUCAGCCCCCCACGGGGACGGUCCCCGGCGCGUCCGGGCGCAGGGGGGUGAGCUGCCUCUGAGCUGGCCCCGGCACCGGCGGCAAAGGCAGGGCCAGGGGCACAGCUGGGGCUGGGAGCACCCCAGGAGAGCUGUGGAGCAAGGGCGCUGCACCCCGUCACUGCCCCACUGCACCCCACAAGCUGCCCCUCCUGCAUCUCUGCUUCCACCCUGACAGCACCUCUGUGACACACCAAGCAUCUCUAGCCCUGUCUGUACCUCUUGCACACUGCCGUCCCUUGCUGGGUUGUACCAACAAACCCAGUGCAACUGGCAGGUAAACACAGUGAGAAAUGCCCUAAUGCUGACUGCUAACACCCAGAAACACUGGCAGAUUGGAAGGGCAGGUGAAACAAACCCAGGCCAGCGCAGAAGAUGACCCAGUGAUCACAUUCUAUGGAUUGACACAAACUUGUGUCACCUCCUGCUCCUCCGCAACCGUUCUUUGCUCAAGCUGCAGGGGAUGCCUCGCAGUCCUGCUGCAGCGUUUGGAGCUGCUGUCACCCUGGCCAUGUUAUCAGCUGCUCUUCGGCUAUGGACUCCUAGCCCCAGAGCAAAGUCAGCUGGAGGAAAUGUGGCCCUACACCUCAGCAAACUGAGGUACACGCUAAAAUCAGAGCCAUGGUGGGUUUCAGGCUGCCUCCAGGUGGAAGCUAACCUUAGAGAAGGGUCUGUCUCAUUGACUGAGUGCCCAUCUCACCUCAAACUGUCCCAUGUGAACCAGAGCCCUGAGACACCAGCUCGUGCCCUGGAGCAGCUGAGAGCAGGGGUGGGAACCCAUCCCUGUCCCACAACAAUGGCAGUAACCUGCAGCAGCAGGACAGAGUGCCCAGGUGAGAACAUUCAUGCUGUAAAAAUUAGCCUAAGAUUUGAAUCUACCAAAAUGUAUCUGUCCCUUUCCUCAUACCUCAGCUCUCUGCCUGAGAAAGUGUAGUCCUCCCUACAUUCAAGCACGUGAGAUACUUAGAGGUUGCUGUACAAAGGGACGUAAAACUGUCUAACAUUGAGAAGUGUGGCCUUCCUCCGUCUCACAGGCAGGCACACAGGACUGGGACCCAAAGGUGCAAAGGAGUGUGACACAGUUCAUGCCACAUACUGCUGUCCCUGCCUAUCUGCUAAUUCGGUGACAGACUUGGCAGUGGGUGAGUUCAGCAACUUUGGUUGGGCAAAUGUUCCUGCUUCGAAGCUCCAACUGUCACUCACUCAGAGCAGGAAUCUCACUUGCCAACAUUACAGAACAUUAGGACCAAACACAAAUUCCAGAACUCUGCCAGUUCCCCGGAGCUGGGCUGCAUUAUGUAACGGCAGAUCGCACGGGGUGCUUUCCGACACUGUCUUGAUAGUCUCAAUCAGGCGGAGGCAACGUGGGUGGAACUCUUAUCACACCAGGCUGACUCCCGUGAAUGAGCAGAGGACUUGCACGUUCUAGAAAUAGUACAUGCAUUAGUAUUCCCGCAGGAGAAAUUUGGGCGCGCUGCUUUGCCUUUUCUCCUUUCCCCCCCUUUCCCCCCCCUUUUUAAUAAAGGCUCAAAAUAAACUCAGAUUUUGCAAGCUCUUACUAGCAAGCACAGCACACACAGCAGCGAGUCCGUGCAGGAUCACAGACAUCUGAGCGCCAGGUGACAGAAAGAUUUCGUUAUCGGCUCGCCCUAGGCAGGACCUGGAAUAAAACCCUGAACUUGGGGAGACUUUUUUCCAUGGGUUUCAGCAAGGUCUGGGAUUUCAGCCUGCCUCUGCUUGCACAGCACCUAGCACAAUGGAGCCCUGAACCUUGACUGGGCUUUCUGGGGAUGACUAUAAAAUAAAUGGCACAAAGUGCUCACGGAACAGACUUUGAAAUGGCAAAAACCCUCCCUGAAGCACACAAAGAGUUUUGCUUGUGUGUGGGCAGGCAGAGGAAGGCAUCACUAAAAAUCUCAUUUUUAAUCAAAUGUUUGAUUUCAGCCAAACUGGGUUUAGUUUGCACUACUUACUUAGUUAUUUGUCAUAUUGUAGGUUUAAUAUUUAUAAAUCUUUUUAUAAGUAAACACGUAACCUGCCCCUGAGCGUUUCUAUGCUACAUUUCAAGCCAACAUGAUUUAAACUAUGUGCAUUUAAAACCUUCCAGAACCUGACCUAUAAUGCAAAUCCAUACAGUCUUAAUUAUUGCAGCACCAGCAGCCACGGCACGAGUGAGGCAGUUGAGCUUUUGUUACUAAAGAGGCACAGUAGUUAUGGUCUGUCAGUGCUCCUGUUACAAUCCCCACCUUGAAGAGGUUAUAACUUGGGCUGUGUAAAUUUGAUUGAGCUGAAACUUGGGACUCCAACUGUCAGUCCAUAUAGGGAAUUAUCUUAUGAAUAAUUGGCUAACCCAUUGCUUGAUUCACAGACUUUUAUACAAUGAUUUUUAAUGGGUUUUAAUGUUUUUUUCUUUUACUGACAUCUAGGGUAUGAAUUUGGUACUUCUAGCUCUUCUGAAGCUCCAUACUCAGUGGAAUAUGUAUAGAUACCCAAGGUAACGCUACAGCUACCCAGAGGAUUUCACAGGGCACACCUGGCACCCUGACCCACCUGCAUGUUCCUAUACACUGAGAAGAGGCCAGGAACAAGAAAUGACGCUUUAGUUAUCUCCAAAGAGGGUCCAAACUGUGUAAGAUAAAGAGAACAUAAAUAAAUAUCUUUGCUAAUCUU